CGCCUACGGGCGGCUGCAGUGGGGAAUUUUGGACAAUGGGGGCAACCCUGAUCCAGCCAUGCCGCGUGAGUGAAGAAGGCCUUCGGGUUGUAAAGCUCUUUCGGCCGGGAAGAAAUCGCAUCAGCUAAUACCCUGUGUGGAUGACGGUACCGGAAUAAGAAGCACCGGCUAACUACGUGCCAGCAGCCGCGGUAAUACGUAGGGUGCGAGCGUUAAUCGGAAUUACUGGGCGUAAAGCGUGCGCAGGCGGGUUUGUAAGACAGGCUUGAAAUCCCCGGGCUUAACCUGGGAACUGCGCUAGGGACUGCAAGGCUAGAGUACGGCAGAGGGGGGUGGAAUUCCACGUGUAGCAGUGAAAUGCGUAGAGAUGUGGAGGAACACCAAUUGCGAAGGCAGCCCCCUGGGUCGAUACUGACGCUCAUGCACGAAAGCGUGGGUAGCAAACAGGAUUAGAUACCCCAGUAGUC
rnacentral:rRNA from 1 species